UAAAGCCACAGAAGAGAAAAUCCUGGCUUGAGCAACAAGAUUAGAUUCUCAGUACAUAACACCUAUUGUGUUCUCUUCAAAUCCCACAGAUCAGCCAUCUCAUUGGCAGCCUUGCUGGUUGUUCUCCCUAUACGACUACGGAGAUUGGAUGUGUUAACAAGAAUAUAAAUAAACUCUGGCUGAAAAAGGUCACAGUAGGUGUUCAUUGAUGUCCAGCAGUGUCCAAAGCUCUGUAUCCCAGAAUUCCCUCCACCUGUGUGGACUGAAGGUCCUUCACUCUCUGGGUGAACAGGAGGCUUCAAACAGCUGCUGCAGAGCUUUGAGUGGAUCACUCUCAUCUCUGUCUCCAAGUUCAGCAUCAAACUGAAAAGUGCUUCACACUUCCCAUCUCCUGACAGAGGGCACAUGGAGGAUGCUGGAAUGUGAAAUUAACGUUCCGCUCUGAUAGCUCUGACCCUGAGCUUGCUGUAUUCAGUGCUCCAAAUAUUGACGUACUUAAAAUGUAUCCGAGGCAAUCACCGAUGGGCACCAGUAAGGGGCUGUAAAUGAAUCAUUCAGGCAGCCCAUGGGAAAUUGAACAGAAGCAGUGAUCAGACCAUUCAGAGCUUACCUGCGGAACCAGAAACCAACUGGAAGAGACUUUGCAUUUGGUAUCAUCGAGGAAUGUAUGAUUCAGAAUUUGGUGUUCGUCACAGUGGCUCCUGGAGUUCUCUUCACAAUACUAAUCAAAGGAAAUUGGCCUGCCCUGCAGGGAGUCUGCAGUACUAUAUAGCUUUAGCAUUCUUCUGAGUAUUCAGAGAGUAACAUGACGGCUAUCAAAGCACCGUCAGACAGGGUACACAGAGAAAGCAGCUUGCACACUGUUUGGUGGUAGGUGUGAUAUUAAGUGUCUUGUUUGCUCAGGGAAAUAAAAUGUUCCCAGAAUGAA